rnacentral:rRNA from 1 species
AGCGAACGCUGGCGGAAGGCCUAACACAUGCAAGUCGAACGAACUCUUCGGAGUUAGUGGCGGACGGGUGAGUAACACGUGGGAACGUGCCUUUAGGUUCGGAAUAACUCAGGGAAACUUGUGCUAAUACCGAAUGUGCCCUUCGGGGGAAAGAUUUAUCGCCUUUAGAGCGGCCCGCGUCUGAUUAGCUAGUUGGUGAGGUAGAGGCUCACCAAGGCGACGAUCAGUAGCUGGUCUGAGAGGAUGAUCAGCCACAUUGGGACUGAGACACGGCCCAAACUCCUACGGGAGGCGGCAGUGGGGAAUCUUGCGCAAUGGGCGAAAGCCUGACGCAGCCAUGCCGCGUGAAUGAUGAAGGUCUUAGGAUUGUAAAAUUCUUUCACCGGGGACGAUAAUGACGGUACCCGGAGAAGAAGCCCCGGCUAACUUCGUGCCAGCCGCCGCCGUAA